UACGUAGGGUGCGAGCGUUAAUCGGAAUUACUGGGCGUAAAGCGUGCGCAGGCGGCUAUUUAAGCUUGCUGUGAAAGCCCCGGGCUUAACCUGGGAACUGCAGUGAGGACUGGAUGGCUGGAGUGUGGCAGAGGGGGUGGAAUUCCACGUGUAGCGGUGAAAUGCGUAGAGAUGUGGAGGAACACCAGUGGCGAAGGCGGAUCUCUGGGCCGAUACUGACGCUGAGGAGCGAAAGCGUGGGGAGCGAACAGG
rnacentral:rRNA from 1 species